ACCAUCAUCGUCCAGCGGUUAGGAUACCAGGUUUUCAAGCACGGCCGCUCGCGAUCCCCUGGGGACCGGGGUUCGAAUCCCCGUGAUGGUA